rnacentral:rRNA from 1 species
UACAGAGGGUGCAAACGUUGUUCGGAAUUACUGGGCGUAAAGGGCUCGUAGGCGGCCAACUAAGUCAUACGUGAAAUCCCUCGGCUUAACCGGGGAACUGCGUCUGAUACUGGAUGGCUUGAGAUUGGGAGAGGGAUGCGGAAUUCCAGGUGUAGCGGUGAAAUGCGUAGAUAUCUGGAGGAACACCGGUGGCGAAGGCGGCAUCCUGGACCAACACUGACGCUGAGGAGCGAAAGCCAGGGGAGCAAACGGG